UUUAGCUAGCGUCGUCUUUCCGAUUCCGCCCAUUCCAUAAAUCAAAAGCAUGUUGACAUUGGGAUUUUUUAAUGCAUCAAUUAUUUCAUUCAGAAUGGACGUUCUUGAUUCAAAGGCCUCGAAGUCUUUGUUAGGCAUAAGCAAGGUAUCCUCCGGAAUGAUGCUGUAGGAAAUACUAUUAACUGGUCUAGCGUCCAGGACUUUGACAACAGCCUCCUUCUGCCUCUCUGCUUCCUUGCUAAGUCGAGGGCGGGUCUUCAAAUUAGGACAUAACCCCUUGAAACAACGCUUAUUUGCAGUGGCUUCAUCUUCUGUAAAUUUAUCUGCCUCUUCAAUGACACUGUUGGCCGUUGCAAGCCAAUUCUCAACGUUCUCUUCAAUCUCUUCUCCUUUUCUUUUAGCCUCAUCAACCUGGUGCUCUGUAUUCACCCUCUCAGACUUUAGUUUCACAACUUCAGUGUUGAGAUUCUGUAAGUUGCUCGUGUACUUACUCUCACGCAAAUAGCUAAUUUGGCGAUAUGCGUGAGGAGCCAAGCACUUUGCAACUUCUAAAGCAAUAGUAAGAAUGAUUUCAGCCAUCUUCAGUCCUUUGUCCUUGUCUCUCUAUCUCUCUUUUUCUGAAUUUUGGAAAAACAAUUCAACAAGUGACCACAACAAGAUGGAACAAAAUAAAAAGGAAAAAAAUACAAAGAGUGGAUGGAGAAUAAAACAGAGACAGCGGCACAGCUAGACACAACUAGAUAGAGAACAGAGGAAAACCAAAUAACAAGACUUAAGAUUACAACAAACAGAGGCCAAGUAUUAUUGUUGAGAUCAGAAGAUGGAAAAUUCCAAAGAGUUGAUGGCAGAUGCUGAAUAACAGAACAACAAUGAACACAAUAAACAGAAGCAAAGUGUGUUUGUGAUCGACAGACGGAAGUAAGGAAAGCGGUUGUUGAUUGAAAAUGAAUGAAUGCAAAGAAAGACUGAUGUUAAAAAUUGAUGUCAAGGAAUAAUUGAACUUUCGCUGAAUUAUUGUUUGUGGCUUCUUUUACUGUUUAUUUGUGGGUCAUGUCUUUUGGAACUAAUCUUGUCCAAAAAAUGUUGUUUAUUUGUGGGUCAUGUUAUUCAGCAUCUGCCAUCAACUCUUUUGUUUAUUUAUUCAAAAAAUAAAUUGUGAUUAUUUGUUAAUGUAUGCGAUUACUUGUGAUGGUAAACAAAGUAGAUAUGGUAUAUUUUGAAGUUAAAUUAAAAAAAAAAAAAACAGAACUUUUACCGUUACUUGCCUUAUCAUCUUUUAAAUUAGAGUUAUUAUUCUUUUAUUUUUCAAGUUGCCAACUCAUCAGUGUAUUCUUUUAUUGAAUUUAAAGAUCAAUGAUUAUAAAUUUUUGUGAAAAUUUUAAGUCAAAACUUUAAAUUAAAAUAAUCUUUAAGUUAUAGGGAAAUAAUAACUUAGUAUAACAAAUAUUAUAUCCUAUACUUUAUUGCUACAAAAUUACGAAACCUUAUAGUUUCAAAAACAAAAAUUACGAAACCUUAUAUUAUAUUAUGUUUCCAUAUUUCUCCUUUAUAGUGAAGACUCAUACUUCUUAUCUAAUAAAUGCUAAAGUAUUGGCUUAAAUUUUUUAACCAGCAUAGUAGACCCUUAAGCUAUAUAUACUAUAAUGUCCCUCUUCUCUCACAGAGUAAACCAAUCUGAUCUCAGAGUGAGUUGAUACCAUGACUUCGCAUCAUUUGUGAUCAAAGGAGUAUCAUUACUAACUAAUAUAGGCUCCAUCAAUAGGCAUGAUAAUAAUUUUUUUUUUUAUCUACAAACGCUGUUUUUCAAAAUAUUAUAUCUUAAGACUUAACUAAAUAUUUUUUAACUAUGUAGAUAUAGUUUGUUUGAUCUCUUUUAAAUAGUGGAGAUUACAAACAAACAUAUGUGAAUUAGUAGUGAUGUUGAGUUCAGAAGCUUGAAGUUAAAAAAAUUAAGGGUUUCUUGAUCUAGAGAAAUUUCAAAUGAGUGAAGCGUCCUCGAAAUCGGAAGACGAAAAUAAGGAAAGGGUAAGGGUGUAUUUUCAAAGUGAUUCUAUUAAGAGAUCUUUGAAGUAGGGGUGGGCAAGUCGGGUUUUGGUUCGGGUUGUUCAAAUUUCGGUUUGGGUUUUAACCCAAUCGGGUUUGAGAAUUAAACUCAAUCGGGUUGAAAACGCCAAUCCAAACUAAACCGAACCAAAUUUAAUUCAGUUCGGGUUCAUAAUUCGGAUCGGACUGGGUUGAUAAUUCAUGUUAAAAUUUCGAUUCGGGUUAAUUUGGGUUAGAAUAAUUCAAUCUAAAAUUUUGGGUUAGUUCGGUUUAAAACGGGUUGGAACUAUUUAAUCCAAAAAUUCUACCAACAACCACUUAAAAUCUAAAAAUCUCAAUUCCAAACAUCCUUAACAACAAAUAUCAACUACAAACCAUCCUUUACAACAUUUCAACAAUAACAAUAGCAAUAAUAACAACAACAACAAUAAUAAUAAUAAUACCAACAACUAUGAAUCAGCAAUUCAACAUAUUGCCAUAUUCUAAAUUUAAAAAAACACACAAAUUAUUUAAUUAAUUAAUUAAUUAACAAUCUCCAAUUUAAUUUAUAAUAACAACAAAAAUCCUCUCCAAUUUAAUUAAUAACAGUCUCCAAUUGUUUAAUUAUCAGUCAACAGCAACAAACCCAAUCUAAUUUAAUCAUAACAAUCUCCAAUUGUUCAAUUAUCAGUUAACAGCAACAAAUCAUCUCCAAUUUGUCACGAACAGCCUCUAAUUGUUUAAUUAUCAGUCAACAACAACAAACACACUCCAAAUAAUUGAACAAUUAUUAAUUAAUUAAUUAAAAAUACCCAAUUUAAUUAAUAACAACACCCAGGAGCAAGUCAGCAAUAAACCCACUACAAAAUCCAAAUAUCAGUGUAAACUAAGUGUCAAACCUUGAUCGGUGGGAAGCUACAGCGUCGGCAAAGCGUGACCGUGUGGGGCUGAGUGAGACCGUCGACCGAGGGUGUGAGAAGGGAGAAGAGGGAGCUGGGAGGUAACAUGGUGUGUGUGAGUUUAUAUAUAUAUAUAAUUUUUAAAAGCCAAAACUUAAAAAAAAAAAAAUUUAACCCAAUCCAAACGCGCACCUCAGAUUACUUCCGUGUUAAGAGAUGAAUCCCACACUCUUGAGCCUUUGUCGUCCUAGUCAACUAUCAAAACAAAUCAUUAUUGAAUGUGAACAGAAUUAUUGAUCACCCAAUUUUCAAACUUGUCAUCCUUAUUGAAUCUGCAUUCCCUUUUAAAAUUUUUUAAAAAAGUACAAAUAAUGAAACAAAGUGUUGUUCCUUCAACAGUUGAUAGAGUUACGCGGCUUCAACUUGCAAGUGCUGUCGGCAUUUUCAAACUUGCAAUACCCUUCAACUUGCUUUCCAAGAUAGCUAUAAUUAAUAAUGACAACAAUCUCCCUUGUAGUGACUAGUGAGCAACUUGUUUCGUGAAAUUAACGGCAUCUUCUCUCACAUUUAAAAAAAAAAAAUUGAAUUAUAAAACCCACCAAAACUAUAAAAGAAUUGUUAGUUUUUCUUCAUUAAAAUUAAUAGAUUGCUCCUCAUAUUGAAAAAUCAAAAUUCAGAAUAAGAAUGAUUGAUACUCUUUAUUUACUAAAAUGAAAAUAAAAUAUAUGAAGCCUACAUAUUUUUGAAAUAAAAAAAAAGAACUUUAUUUUUCAUGAGGAGUGUUGGGAAUCAAGUUCUCAUUAUUUAAACUCUCAAUUGUACCAUUAUUUAAACUCUCAAUUGCACCUCACCGAAAUUUCAUAAUUUCACUUUUGUUCUCAAUUAAAAUAUUAUUAUAGUUAUUAUUCUUAUAAAUGUUGAUGAUGAUGAUACAAGAUAAUAAAAUUAAUGAUAAUUAAACCAAUUUGAAUUCAGAGUGAGUGAGUACCAUUACUUCGCAUUAUUUGAUAUCAAAGGAGCAUCAUAACUAACUAAUAUAGGCUCGAUCGAAUUCAUCAUGCGAAGUAUAUUAUCGGCUGUAGGUAUGGAAAUAAAUUUUGUAUCCACAAACACUAUUUUUCAAAAUAUUUUAAGACUUGACUUAGCAUUUUUUAACCAUAUAUGUAUAGGUUGUUUGACCUAUUUUAAAUAGUGGAGAUUACAACAAAUGAACAGAUGUGGAUUUGUAGAGUUGUUGAGUUCAGAAGAUUGAAGUUAACAAAGGGUUUCUUUAUCUAGAGAAAAUUCGAAAGAGCGAAGUGUCUUCGAGAUCAAAAGACGAAAUAAGGAAAGGGUAAGGUUAUACUUUCAAAAUGAAUCUGUUGAGAGAACUUUAAAGAUUACUUUCGUUAAGAGCUGGAUCCCACACUUGAGUCUUCGUCGUCUCAGUCAGUCAGCUAUAAAGACAAAUUAAUUUUGAGCGUGAAAGGACACAAUUGAUCACCAAAUUUUCAAACUCGUGAUCCUUAUUGAAUCUGUAUUCUCAUUUGAAAAACAAUAAAAGAUUAACAUUAAUUUAACUUCAUCUAGAUUCCCAUUUGAAUCUGCAUUCCCAUCCCGUUGUUCUCUGGGAAUGCACAUAAUCAAAAAAAAUCCUAUCCGCAUUUUCAAACUUGUGACCCUUCAAGCUUUCUAUGACAACUAUAACGAAUAAUUACAACAGUGCUACCUAAUAGUGAGCAACUUGUUUGAUGAAAUUAACAACUUCUUUUCUCUCAUAUAUUUUUAAAAAAUUGAAUUAUCAAAGUUUUUAUUUCAAAAUUAGUGCUAUAGUUCAUUAAUUUUUCAAAUUUUCCUUUUUCUUUCCACACAACAGAUUGAUUUGCCCUCCAAAAAAUGUAUUAUAUUGUUUAAUAUUGUAACUUCAAGAAACUUAUAAUAAAUUUUUAAAGAGAUAAAUAGAGAAUGUCAGUCUCCCAUCUACUCAAAAUUAAUAUAUAUCAUUAACUCUUGAUUAUUUUUAUAACAACUAAUAACUUUCUUGGCAGCAUAAUUUUACAGUAUCAUCCUUGUUUGUAAGUAUAUUUUUAUUCAUAUUUAUUAUAAAUUAAUUAAAUCAUAUCAAUGAAAAUUGAAAUAAAAAUUGAAGUACUAAAAAUUAAAAAAAUAUAUUUUGGUGUGAAUAAAAAAUUGAAAAUAAAAAUAUUUUUCUUAUAUUUUUUGUUAUUUUUAAAUUUUUUCUUAUAAUAAAUGUAUAUUUUAUAUGCUCAACUUUUUCUUUUAAUUUUUGUUAUUAGGAGGAUUUUUAGAUAUAAUGAAAUUUGUAAGGUAGUAAGUAAUAUAUAAUAAUUUUAAUAGAGAAAAGUAAAAAAUCUCUUAUUUUAAAAUAUAAGGAGAAAAAUAAUUAAUUUCAAGACAUUUUAGAAGAUAUUUCAAUACGCGGUGGACCACAAACUCGAGUCUUUGUCAUCUCAGUCAAACUAAAAGGACAGAAUAUUGAGGGCAUGGCUAAGGUGCAGAAGCUGCAAGUAACAGCUUCGAACUUUCCCAUUUCCAUCACCUUGCAUUGGGACCUCUUUCUUUGUCCUCUAGCACCCGUGGAAGUUCCCCAUUGGCCACUGUUAGGAGCUGUAACAUAGACUUCUCCGAAAAUUGAGCGCGAAGGGCUCAAGUGAUUGUUAAUUUCACAGCAAUUGCCUUUUUUCUUUCUUUUUUUUUUUCUAAUUAUUGGAAAAUAUAAUUUAGUAUAACAAAUAUUAUAUCCUUUCCUUUAGUGCUGCAAAAAUUCCGAAACCUUAUAUUAUAUAAAGUUUUCAUAUUUCUCCUUUAUAGUGAAGACUCAUACUUAUUCUCUAGUAAAUGCUAAAGCAUUGGCUUAAACUUUUUAACCAGCACAGUAGACCCUUAAGCUAUAUAUACUAUAAUGUCCCUCUUCCCUCACAGAUUAAAGCCAAUAUGAUCUCAGAGUAAGUUUGCUUCAAAGGAGUAUCCUUACUAACUAAUAUAGGCUCGAUCAAUAGGGAUGAUAAUAAUUUUUUUUUAUCUACGAACAUUAUUUUUUCAAAAUAUUAUAUCUUUAGACUUAACUAAAUAUUUUUUAACCAUAUAUGUAUAGUUCGAUUAAAUAGUGGAGAUUACAACAAAACAGAUGCGAAUUAGUAGUGAUGUUGAGUUCAGAAGAUUGAAGUUAAAAAAAUAAAGGGUUUCUUGAUUUAGGGAAAUUUCAAAAGAGUGAAGCGUCUUCUAAAUCAAGACGAAAAUAAGAAAAGGGUAAUGGUGUAUUUUCGAAGUGAUUCUAUUGAAAGAUCUUUGAAGAUUACUUUCGUUAAGAGCUGGAUCCCACACUCUUGAGCCUUUGUCGUCCCAGUCAACUAUAAAGACACGUUAUUAUUGAGUGUGAAUAUUCCGAGUUAUAAAUCACCAAAUUUUCAAACUUGUGAUCUUCAUUGAAUCUGCAAUCCCUUUUGAAAAAAAAAAAAGAAAAAGAAAGGAAAACUGCAAAUAAUGAAACAAAAUUCUGAUCCUUGAUAGAGUUACGCGGCUUCAACUUGCAAGUGCUGUCGGCAUUUUCAAACUUGUGAGACCCUUCAACUUGCUUUCCAAGAUAGCUAUAAUUAAUAAUGACAACCGAAGACGGCCACGUUUGCGGUACAAAAGUUGCACCAUAUUAGACGUUCUUUUUUGUUCUUAUCCGAAGUAACCGUUGGAUUCAAAGGAAAGUGAUCAGACAUUCAAUAGCUUCACACGUGGACAUUAUAGGAUACCGGUCAAAUCGGUUAGCGCUCCUCCACAUCAAACUCACAAGCAUGGCAAUCAUCGUAUUCGUAUCAGCUUGGAAACUUGUUACAAGUAACGAAGAGCAACAGAGUCCGCUCCUCUAGAGUCGGCAACAGAGUUUUAAUUAACGGCAUCUUCUCUCACAUUUUUUUUUAAAAAUUGAAUUAUAUAACCCACCAAAACUAUAAAGAAUUGUUAUUCUUCAUUAAAAUUAAUAUACUGUUCCUCAUAUUAAAAAAUCAAAAUUCAGAAUAAGAAUAAUUGAUACUGUUUAUUUACUAAAAUGAAAAUGAGAAUAAAAAUAAAAUAUAUGGAGCCUAUAUAUUUUUUAAAUUAAAAAAUAAGAACUUUUCAUGAGGAGUGUUGAGAAUCAAGUUCUCAUUAUUUAAACUCUCAAUUGUACCUUACCAAAAUUUCAUAAUUUCACUUUUGUUCUCAAUUAAAAUAUUAUUACAGUUAUUAUUCUUAUUUUUGUAGUUGUUGUUGUUGAUGAUGAUGAUUAUGAUGAUACAUGAUAAUAAAAUUAAUGAUAAUAAUAAUGAUAAUGAUAAUGAUAAUAAUAAUAAUGAUAUGAUAAUGAUGAUAAUAAUUUGAACAACAACAACAACAAUAAAUAAUAAUAAUAAUAAUGAAAAUAAUAACUAUAAUUUUAACAACAAUAAUAAUCAUUAAUAUUAUUAUUGUUAAAAUUAUUAUUAUUAUUAGAUAAUUAUUUUGAAUAAUAAUAAUCACAAGUCUAUUCUGAUUCCAGUUUAUUCCGAUUAUCGAUUAGAAAAUGCAUCAUUACUGUUUUAAUAAUAACUAAUAAUUCUCUUGACAUCAUAAUCGUAAUUCUUAUACUAUUAUCCUUAUUUUAAAAUCCACUACCAUGAGCUUGCAUCAUUUGAAAUGGUAGGUACUAGGUAGCAAUUGCUUACAUCAAAAUAUCUAGACUCACUCGGCAAAGUAUCCGAGGCCAAAACGCCAAAAGAUGGGACACCCACAUGUGCAUCUAAUUACAAAAUCUAAAGUUAAUGAAAAAGAAAAAAGAAAAAGUAUAAAUGAACGGUAUUGGCUGUAGGACAAGGGGAGGGGAAAAAGGACCAUUUUGUUUUCUUUGCUAAUUCACAUGGGGAAGGGAAAAAAAGAAAAAGACAGUUUUGAUUAAAAAACACAGAAUAUUCAAUUCACAAGCCACCAAUGCUUGUGGACCAAUGGUCGAUAUAUGAAAGUUAGAGAUUCUGGCAAAAUGAGCAAAUAUUUUGAGUUGAUUAAUGGAUUUGUUUGUAAUGCAAUACAAGAUAGCAUUUUAAAGCUGGCAAGAAAGAAAGAAAUAAGUCAAUAAUUGAGAUAUUUAAAGAAGCUCAAGUGGUCAUGAAAUCUCUCCUUAAAAACUAUACAAGAUAAUGUUAAUGAUAAAGUUAGCCAACCAAGUCGUUCAAUCAUUGCUAGAAGCAAGCAGCCAUUGAAGUUGAUAGAAGCUAAUGCAUGGAAAAAGGUUCGUUACAUAAAGGAGAUAAUGAGAAAAUUGAUGAACCCCUAUCAUCCAUGUUUUGUUUCAAUCAAAAGGUUUGAAUUUUAAGGCCGAUAUUUUGGACUGAAUCCCCCUGUCUGCUUCCAAAGGGGAGGAUGUGCAUGUAGUUGAUUGGGCCGAUGAUUGUGAUGGGAGGGAACUUUUAGCUUGGAAAUGGACCUAGCAAGCCCAUGUUUGAUUCGGUAAGUUGUGACUUCUCAUGGGCAUUUGAAAUUUUUAAAUGGCCUUUUAUAACCUUUGUCAAGAUUCUCAGAAAUCGAAUCAUUCGGUGAUUACUUGCAAAUUCGGAAAGGAAAUUGGAAUCAAACUGGGGUUCUAAUUAAAAAAAAAAAGGGUUCAGAAUCAGAAUUUUGUUCUUUUGACUGACUAAACUACCCUCAUUUAAUUUUCAAAAUGCCCAAAUUUUUAUCAUGCUCACUUGGCGUUAUCUCGUCUUGUGGGAGCUGUAGGACAGUUGAGAUAAAAGAUAUUGCUCCAGUAUCUACUGUUUUCUCAUCCUGAUCUUCAGAGUUAUUCUCAACAAUGGACAAAUUUGAGUUUAGAACAGCAUCAGAAACCAAUGACACCCAGUCGCAUCCAGCUACUUCUUCACUUUGCUCAAUUCGACAGAUUUUACGCAAAUUUGUUUUGUUCUCAAAAUAGUCUGCUGCUCCCGGAUUGUCCUCAUUACAUUGAACGAAUGAUGACGACGCUCUGUCCGUUUCUGGCUCUCUGCUUUUCUCUUUCACAUCACGAGACACCUCGUUUCUAACUGGGGUACCACCAUCACAUUUAACUGUUAUUGGCAACUCAAUAGCUAAUUCCAAUGUUUCCUCAAGCAGUUUAGAGAUAAACUCUCUCGCUGAACUCCCUGGAGUAACACAAUCCAGUUUUCCAGUGCAAUCAUCAAACAGUUGAACAGCUCCUGAAUUCCCUUUGCUUUUCUUGUUUUCUUUUCCAUGUAAAGGGAGCUCAGGCUUCAAUAUAUCUGGGGAUUGAUUACUAAUGAUAAAGACAACAUGCUGUAGAGGACACAAAUUGUUAUUAAACAACGAUGCACUUUUCAUUUUUCAACUGAGUACGGUAAAGCAAGAAUGGGUAAUUAGUUUUACCUGCUAAGCGAAAAUCUACACUCCCGAAGGUAACCGAUCUUGGGUGAAGCAAAUAAAGACGAAGGCGAAGUAAAAUUCACUGAGUUGAAUGAGCGAUCAUUGCUGAUAUAAUUAAAGACUGGUGAAUCCUGCAUGUUGACAAGCAUCAUUUUUAAUCUAACAUAGAGUCUUAAAAACCUGGUCAGUGGCAAAUGAUCACGACAACAAAUCUGAAGUACAAACAGCAGAGCUCAACAAAUCACUAAGAGAAAAUAACACCAGUAACCAAGCAGAUGAAAGAAAAGCAAAAUAAUCCAUCUCAAAUCACCACAUGCACAAUUUAAGGGGGUUGUGACAUGGGUUUAAGCAUGAUUUAACAAGUGCCACCAGUGAAUUCUCAGAUUGAAUUUUCAUACACAUGUCAAAUUUUCAAGUCCAACGAAUUGUUAUCUUUCUGAAGAUAUUAACUAUGCAUAGCAUGCUAUAAACAAAUCAUAUUAUUAGGGCCUUUGUUUGCUGUACACAACAUAUGUACAGAGGAACAAAUCCAUGAGCUGAAAUCAUCAUAUUCCAAAAUAUUCUACCCAAUCAACACUACAAAACCGUAACGCUAAACAGAAUUGGAGCAAUUUAAGAAAGCUAUUUGUCACACAAAGCACUAGUACCUCAGAACCCAAUUUGCAAAAAAGCAACAAAAAUGAAAAAUAACAAAUGCCCAGAUGCAAAAUCAGGAAAAAAUGCUCAAAUACAAACUACAACCCCAUAAGCUGAGAUUGACCUCAAACUUGGAAACAGAAGCGACAGUGAUCUGUUUCUUGUCUGGAGUGUCCAUUUCUAUAAUCUACUUUGUCCGUUUUCAGUCGCUCCGCCACAAAGCCUCUUCACUCCGAAGCUGAAACUCGCCACACACUUGCAAAACGAAAGCAUUUGAUUGAUUGAGAGGCGGGAAGGCGGGAAAACGAGCGAAAUUUGCUUUUGUUUUUUCUUCGUUUGGUCAUACAUGUGCGGGCCCCCCAGGUUGACAAGCGUUAUCAUUACUAUUUGCAUUAUUUGAAGGACGCGUGUCAUGCAACGACGAUAGAAAAAGUGGUGCAAAACUCCAAUUGUCACGAAAUGAUGAUAAAAUAAAAAUAUAUCGUUAAUUUUUCACUUAACAUUGGAAUAUCAUAUAAUUUUAUGGUCAUUUUCUCGCCGCCACAUUCUUUUGAUAAAAUAAUACGGUAAAACUUUUCUAUAAUCAUGAUAUUAGAACCCAAUUAACUUUGUUUCUACAAAGAGGUUAUAGCUUAAUAAAGUAAAAUUGUAAAAAAUAUUAUUUUGACUUAAUUAUCUAAAGAGUAAAUAUAUAAUAAUUAAUUAAUAAAUUAUGUCAAAUACAAUAUAUGGACUAUGAUAAAAAAGAUAGACAUAAUUUCAUAAAAUUAAUACAUAUGUUUUUGUAGUGCUGCGAUUAUACAAAGUUAUCUUAAAAGUGUAAAGAGUAAAGUAUUGUUUUAAUUAAUUUAAAAAAAUAUUUUAUUAUUAACCUUUAAUGCAACAUAGUAAUUUUUUUUCCCUGGCAACAAAGUAUUGUUCCAAAUAAUUAUUAUUGGAUCUAGAUCCUGCCCUAGGCAUUUUCUCUACUAAUCCUCAUAAACUUUUAGGGUAUGUUUGGCACGUAAGAUUAGAUUGGACAAACUAUUAUGAUUGGACUAACUUAGAAUGGAUUAGAUUAGAUUGGAUUAUAUAUAGUGCUGACUUAUGUUUGGUAUGGUAUUGGAUUAGAUUAUGUUAAAUUAAAUUUACAUAAAAUUAAAUAGUAUUUACAUUAAUAUUUGAAUUUAAAUAUCAACUAUUUAUAGAUAUUUAACAAGAAAUAUUAUAAUUAAUUAAAAAUAGCAAUUGGGUAGUCAUAAUUAUAAUAAAGAAAUAUAAAUUAUUUAAAUUAUAGGUUAUUUCAAAGAGUGAUGAUACAACCACAAAUUCUUGUACAAACUGAUUUGGCAUUAAUUCAUUUAUUGAAUGAAAAUAUAAAAUAAUAAAAAUAAAUCAUGUGGGCCCAAGAUAUAUUUAAUUCAACCAAUUUUAUCAUGCCACAUCAGUUUGUACAAAAAUUUGUGAUUAUAUUAUUACUCUAUUUCAAAUGAGAGAUAUCAUUUCAUUGAAUAAAAUAAAUAAAAUUAUUCAAAUAAUAAAUUAAUUAAUAAAAUUUAAGUAAAUCAUGAAUAAAAAAGAAAUCAAUUAAUUAAAAACAGUAAAUAAUUAAAUAAUUUUUAAUUUAUAAAUAAAAUGGUAUAAUAAAUUAUGGAAGAUACUAUAAAUACACAAAUAUUUUUUUCACAUUAUCUAGUUCUAACUAAACACACAUAAAAAUUAGGAUUAGCAAUCCCAUGAAUUUAGGAUUAAAAUUUGAAUUUAGUCGAUUAAUCCAAUACAAGUGAGCAUGCUAAAUAUGGUAUUAAUAUUUUAUCCCAGUAAUAAGUCCAAUUCUACACUUAAUCGUACCUCCCAAAUAUAAUCUUAAGGAUCUAUUGACAUGUGUCAUUAAUGAAAUUAAAUGGCUAAGAUUUUGUUUUAAUUAUUUUUUACCUAAAUAGACAUCAAAACUCAUGUGUGACUCUUGUUAAAUUUUUUCUUACAAAUUCUUUUCCUCUUAAUUCUUUAUAUUUUGACACUAAUUUCCAGCAAAUUAUUUAAAAAAAAGGAGCACAAAUUGGAAAAAAGUGAUUGACAACAAGGUUUGCAUCUUAAUUUCAAAAUUUUCCUUUCUUUGAUGUUUUUGUGGUUUCUAUAAUUGUUGUUUUCACUCUAAGUUGCAAUUCAAUGAACUAAAUUAGUGUUGCUACUUUAUAAACUGCUAUUACUGGGCAUAUAAUUCUAUUGCUACAAUUUUUUUGAGUUUAUAGUUUCUGUUCUAUUCUCUUUUUGGGUUUGCAACUGCUGUUUGUUGUUUUUUUAGGUUUUAUAGUUGAUGUUUUGGGAAAAAUAAAAAUAAAUGUGAUCUUGAAUUCUUUAACUACUAUGAAACAAUUAAAUUAUUUAGCUGCUGCAUUUUCUGCUGUAUUAUUAUAGGCGAGAUGUGUGUCGAAAGGGAAAGAAUUUGCCUAAAAAAAAAAAUUGACAAGAGUCACAUGUGAGUUUAGAUGUCUUUUUUAAGUAAAAAUUAAUUAAAAUUAAAUAUUAGCCAUUAAUAACACAUGUCAAUAAAUUUUUCAAAGUCUAAGAAGAUUGGAAGAGGAUCCGAUCUAUUAUUUACUCUAUAAAAGGAAGUUCCUUGAAGACAAGAACUAUAAAUAAAUUAAUAUAAUGAAUUUAUUCUUAACCUAGUCUAAAUUGAGACUAAAAUUUUUUACUUAAAAAUUUACUAGCUAGCUUUACCUUGAUGGACUAGCUAUGGCCCAUACACAUUUCUCCAAUUUUAUUAAUAUUUUUGUGCAUAGCAAUUAGGGAUACGUGACAAUAAAUUAUCCUUUUAACAUAUAAAAAGUAUUCUCACAAGUAGUGUGCCCCUCCAAAGGGCACAGACAGACUUUUAGCCUCUUUCUUCGGUUUACCACUCCAGUUGGAAUCUUCAAUAAGAUUAAACAUUGAAUAUAUCUAAAAUAUUAGCAAUAUUUGUACUUAUAUUUAACAAAACUAGAGUAAUAUAUUGAUUAAUCUACAUAAUUUUGGGCGGGUUCUUAUGUAAUGUUACAAUUAACAUAGAUUAUUUUCACGGUAUAAGGCAAAUCUUGAGAAUGAACCCAUUUCAAUAUGGUUUCCACAAUAAAUGAACCCACUUUACUACCAAUGAAAGGCCUUGACUCAUAUAUAUCCACCUGGAAAGAAGGGGGGGGGGGGGGAGAGAAGAAAUCUUCUAAUUUCUUUCACCAUCAACAAAAUCAGUGAAACACAUACUAAUUCAAAAUAAAAUAAACUUUGUGAAUUGAAAUAAUGCCUGCUCUAAAGAAAAUGAUAACUGCUAUUCAUUUUUCUGAACUGCUGAUAAAAGCUUCUGCUAUUUACUUCGAAAAAAUUGAGUAACUUCAAAUUUUGAGUUUAGGCAAGAGGAUGAAUGGUAAAAGUGAGACAUUUUAGGGGAAAAGUAAAUACUUGAUAGGCCAAUGAAACAUUCAAAAGAUUGAAAUCUAAAUGAGCAAAACCUCAUGGCCUUGAGGCCCUUGAUCCAACAAUUCCACUGCUGUUGACAUGCCUGCAAGCCCAACUCCAAUAAUAGCCACUUUCAGCUUUGGUCCUCUAUAAUGUUCCGGUUCUGGUGGAAACAAACACUUGGGAGCUGCCAAGUAUACCAUUCAAUUAUCCACAGCGAUAUUGGAAAAACAUACAUGUUUGAAAGUACUAAAUAUCAAAUGUCUCCCGAAAAAAAUACAAAGCACAAUUGCAUAAGCAUUUCAUUUCCCAAUAAAUUUCAAGAAUACAAAAUACUUGGUCUGUUCUUGAGUUCCUUUAAGAAAAUUUCCACGAGAGAGCACGCAAGCCACUCAAUAACACUCCAAAGUCAGAUUUUAAACGUUAUCUUGAUCUAUAAGUACAAUCCAUGAACCAUUCUGCCACAAAUUCAAUUAAAAAUUAUUCAAGUAAAAUGCCAAAUUCUCCUUCAAUAGCCUCAAAAAUUCAUAACUAGCAAACACUACAGAACAAAAAGAGCUCCCAGCAAUAAACGCAUAAAAAUCCCACCAGAAACCAGAAAACCCAAAAGAUCAAUACUUGGUAAACAAACAAAUCAAAUCAAAUAAAACAAAAAGAAGAGAAAUUUACCAUUAACACUCAUAUCAGAAACGUUAGUAUCCAAAGAAGCCCGUACACAGAAUCUUGGAACCUUCACUUGAACCCGAGACCAACAAACACCAGUAACUGAAGUUGCAGGAAACAGAAGUGAAGAACCCAUAUUGAAAUAAAAGAAUCCAAACCCAAAGUGCCACAUCUAAAUAUGAUGGAUCCACUUAAAAUAAACAUAUAAAAAUCUUCAAUAUGAGUGCGAAAAUGUGUGGGGGAAAAAACUAAAAAGUGGUUUACCAUGCAGCAAUAUGAAUUUUAAGCUCUCUUUUCUUAUGUCACUCAAGGCAUUGGCUGGAUGGCCAAACAGCAGAGUUCAAGUGUACAAUAGAGAAUCGAAAUUUUCCUUUGUAAAUGUUCAUAAGUAUUUACCACAGAUUUUUAAGUUAUUCUUGAUAGAUCCCCUACCACAUACGCUAUAAUAUUUCUCUCCUUUUAAUUUAAAAGUAAAUCAUGCAUAAUAACGCACUUGUAAAGAAAUGAAAUUUUCGGUAAUUAACUGACAAAAUAAAAAAAAAGGAUUAUGCGAAAGAAGUUAAUAUAGAGUAAGUCGAGUACUUGACAAUCAAAGUAAUUUACUCGAGGUUGAGUAAGGAUAGUACGAUACUUUCUCAAGUUUUCUGAGGACAUUCAUGUGACAUUGGACUAUUGAUUAUAGUUAGAGAGAAGUCCAAGGAUGUAAGUGAUGAUGAUAGAUUCAGAAUUCUUUUGAAGAAAAUAUUUUAUAUAAACUUAAUUAUAUGGUAUAAAAUGAUUGGCCUUAAUAAAAUUAAAAAAUAAUAAAAAUAAUACACGCCUGGGUCAUGCAAUAUUUUCAACCAACUAAUUUACACGCAAAAUUAAAACUUUAUGAGUACAUUUAUUUGCUAGCAGAAACUCUGCCAAAUUUUCCGAAAUGUGAAAGUGAACACUUUUAACAGCGGCACAAAAUGCCUGUGAUAAUGAAACAAUGUGCCAUCCUUAAACUAAUAUUAUUAGAAACUAUAAGUGAAAGUUUUCAGAAAACAUGUGAUAAGUUUUUCUCGGAAUUUGUUUUCUCCUUUGUUUUGAUUUACGCGAGAGAUAGUUGUAAAGAUUGUUUUGAUAAGUUUUCAGAAAACAUGUGACGAAUCGUAGUAAAAAAUUUAUACAUAAUAAUUGAAUGAGAUCCAUGGUUCACAAUUGCAAAUUAAAGGUUGGUUUUAUAAUAAAAAUCGUUUUGUGCAUACCAAAUUAGAAAAGAUUAUAAGUAAAUUAAGAUUUUCAAAAUUUGACUAGUACUAUAUUACGUACAUCAAUAUAAUAUAAAUUUGUUAUAUUUAUAUAUGUUAUUCUGUAACUAAUGCUUUCAAAAAUUUUAUACUUGUAUGUUUGAACAACUUUUUUUCGCUUUCUAUUUAUAUACGAUAUUAUUUAUGUUUACAUAAAUUUUCAUAUGUACCCAAAUUAAGUAUUAAAUACACACACUCUGGUAAGACACAUUUCUAGUAUCAGACAAUGAUAUUAUAUUGAAUGUAAUGCUUCAAUGAAUUUUAUUACUAUAUACUAAAAUACUCAACGAUCUUCAUUAAAAAAAAAAAAAAGAAAUUGCAUGAUUAGAAUGAUUAAAGUUCAUUUAAUGACGAGUUUCAUCAUUGACUGUGUCGAAACAGAACAGCAAUCCACAAUACACUCAACACGAGAGGCGCACACAAGCAUGCAUGAAUCUUCCACCAUUAAACCUGAAAUCAUAAAAUGAAAGAAACAAGGUGAGUGUUGUUUUACGGUCUGAAAGCCGAUUCGAAAUAAUAAUAAUAAUAGACCUUUGUUAAUAGUUACUACUAGUGGUCACUGCCUUGUCCAUCUUCCUUCUCUGUAUUAUCGUCCUCUUCCAAGCCGCUGUCAUCUGACCAAACCCCAGCAACCAUGGGAAAAAUCACCUACUUGUUUUAGGAGCAGGAGCAGGAGCAGGAGGAGGAAAUUAAGUUAGGGAUUUGGAGUGAUAGGGAAAAAGCUGAUUGUUGAGAAAUAUGUAUACCUUUUGUAUGGUUGUGUUAAGGUCGCCCUUCCAAGCCCAACGUGCUUCACUCCGCCGCUGCACUUCGUGUAAUUUGGGUGUACUUAAAUUUCCUUCAGAGAAAAUCUUCAUAUCGGGGCAAUCAUCCACCACUAAUAUUUCCAAAGAUGGGAACUUGAAAGCACAAUUGCCAGAGCAGAAGCUUGUCAAACUUUUUAAGUCUAAAAGCUUCAACUCCUUCAAUUCUCUGAAAGUAAUAACCUCAUCUUUUGCCACAACAUCAUCCACCAAUACUAUUUCUGUUAUCAUAACGCAUGAUUUUAUCUUCAUAUAUCUAAGUCGCACCAGAGACUUUGCAAUUGAGGAUGUUAAUACGAUUUUCAAUCUUUCGCAACUGAAUACCACCAGAUUUGUAAGAUUCUGAAAGGAUGUCGACGAUGGCACUAGAUUGACCAAACGGUCACACCCCUUUACACGUAGAAUAACCAAGUUGUUCGUAACAGAGGACUCCCUUAUCAAAAUGUUCUCCAGAUGAUAACAAUUAUUUGCUUCACUUAUUUCUACUGCCAUACCAUUUUCAACCUUCUCUUUCGGCGACCGGCCACCAUAUCCUUGUAUUUGGAGGACUUUCAUUGUGUGAAGUCUCUGGAGGAAGUCAUCAAGUGAUACAAUAGUCGGCUCAUCAACCAACUCCACAAAAAGAUAUUUUAGUUUGCAAAGCAAGUCUUCAAAAAAUAGAUAUUUAUUUGUUCCUAUGUACUUUGCAUCAACUUUCAACUCUUCCAAAUUAGGGAAUACCUGGGAGAUCGAUCAGAACCAAAAAAAAAAAAAAUACAAGAUGAAUCAGUUGAUGAGAAUUAUAAGUUACCACUAAUUUAUACAAUAUAUUUUAUUCAAUAAAUCAAUAAAUACAAGAUAAACUUUCACAGUACAUACAUAAGAAUUGAAAAAUUGAUUAUAAAACUCUUGUACGUACCCUUUCCGUCAAGAUAUUAGUAGUUCUUUUGCAUCUCGCCAUGAAUUCAGGACAUCCAGAUAUCCCUAAUUCUUUCAAGGAUGGAAAUUCAAGAUUAUCAAGAUCUCCAGUGCAGAAGCUUGUGAACUUUUCAAGAUCAGACAUCCUCAGAGAUUGCAACUGGGGAAACGUUACAAUAUUAUUCUUCAUUUCUUCUUGGUUGUCCACGACUAUUAACUCUUCCAGGACAGGACAUUUGACUAUCAUAAUGUGUUGGAGUCGAACAAAGCUACUAACUGUACAAGAUGAAAAUAGACAUCUUAAAUUCAUACAGCUGUACAGGGUCAAGCGCGUUAAAUUCUGAAUACCACAAGACAUGACUGCAACUUGGUUCAGCCAAAUCCUCUCAACAUUUAUUGAAUACAACAUCAACUCCUCCAAAUUUGGUAAUGCAACCUGCACGAUCAAAAAAUUAACUUGUUAAUUACAAGCAACAAUGAUUUCUGUUGAUGGACAAAUCAAUAAAAUUACUCUUUCUCUGUUUAUAGUUCUUUUCAGUUUUUCAUACAAACAACCGUUAAUCAAGUUUUCCAAAUUAUUCCUUACUAAAUUUUGGUUGAUUCGCAAUAGGACCUACUAUCCAGCGCGAGCAGUUCUCGGGGAUUUAACUACUGGCACCUCGAUUAUAUAAAAAUUUAGACGGCGGCUAAUAUAAUUUAUAUGUAUUCUAAUGACGUAUAUUAAAGAAAAUGAUUAACCAUAAUUUCAAUCAACUUAUUAGUCUAUAUAUAUAUAUAUAUAUAUAUAUAAUAUUCAGCGAUUACAACAUAUUUAGUAUUCCAUAACAUGAUGUUUAUAAUAAUAAUUAUUAUUAAUUCACUUAUUGUGUCAGAGUAUCUUUUCUUUCUCUAAGAAUGUAUUUGUUACACCCUACUAUACUUCGGAUGAAAAAUUUAGAAUAAUUGUGAAAUAUAAUUAUUAAUCACUCUUUGCCAUAUUUGUUACCAAACAGGAAUAUAACAAAGAAAAAAAACAAAAAUUAUAGAGAAUUAAUAAGACGAUUGACUUAUUAAUAACUGACCUUCUCAGGGAAAAGUGUAUUAUAAAUUUGGACAUUGUCCUCCAAAAUGAUUUCAUGUGACUGCAAAUCAUUAGCUGAUUCCUCUUGUCUCUGUUGACAUUGCAGGUAUCUUGAUUUUAGAGUGUAAACUUAAUUGUGAGCACAAUCUUAAUGCAUAGAUACAAGAUCUUUAAAAAUUAGUAUAAGAAACUUAGCACUAAAUCCAAAUUUGAUAUUUUGGAUUCCAUGAUUAAGAUUUUUUAAAUAAAAAUUUAAUAGAGUUAAUUUAAAAAUAAAAAUUAAAUAUGAAAAAUAAACUUGCAAUUAUGGAUUUAAUUUUAAUAAAUAAUGAAUGUUCUCUUUAUAUUUUUUUUAAAAGGUAAAAGAGCGUACAAAGCCCAAAUUCAUUUUUUUAAGUCCUUUACUCUCCCAUGAUUCAAACUUGGGUGGUUGUAGGAGGACUGCAAAUAUAUAAGACAGUUAACUUCACUUUUUUUUUCUUUUUUUUUUUGUUGAGAGAAAAGAGAAGAAGGAUAUUACAAAGCAUGAAGCUCGUGCAAUAUAAGGGCAAUUAUGGUUUUUUCUUUAAAUUAAAAUGGUAAGAUUCUGAAGCUAAAAGAUUAAAAUAUUAAUUAAAUUGCAAACAUUAAAGAUUUUUUUUGCAAAUGGUUGCUUUUAAAAUGAGAAUAAUAUAAUAUUUGAAGACUUUUCAAAAUUAAUUACUGUGAUGCACUAGAAAUUUCUAGCUUUAGUCUAAUGUAUAAAUUGACAAAACGAUAUUCGAAUCCCAGGUGAAAAGAACCCUCUCAUACCAAUUAUUUAAAUUAGGAAUGAUCAUACCUUUGACUCUGCCGGAUUGAGGGCGAGCCAGAGACGCUUGAGAUGGGAAGAGCCCACUUUGACUAAUUCAUUACGAAAAUAAUCGACAUCUUGCUCUUGCAAUCGCCAUAACUCAAGGUCUUCAAUUCUCUGCAGUUGCACGAUCAGCGAAUCCUUCAAGCAAAUCUUGUUAUUUAGCUCGAGACUGAAUUCACGACACCCAAUGCCGGUGCUCUCCCAAUAGCCAUCAUCUCCAAUGCGUAUGCUGUACCUUUCCAGCUUCUCCAAGAGCAGGCCUCUGGGCAGAGUGCUGACGUCACGGGCGCGUAAUUCCAAAGAGGUCAAGUUGGGCAAAUGCUUCAACUCCUCAAGGCUUGCAUUCUUAACCCCUUCUUCCACCUCCACCUCCCAAGCAGCAAAGCUUUGACCUAUAUAUAGUUCUUCUAAACGGGAUAAUUUUGACAGUAUAUUUGGUGGAAUAACUUCUAGGUCCUCACAAUGUCUCAAAUCAAGCAACUUUAGCCAAGUCAAUUCACCUACUUCUACCGGCAACUUCUUAAUAUCAGAAUCUCUUAGGCAAAGGAUUUCUAGUUUCUUCAAGUCUCCUACAACACUUAGAUCAGGCAGGUAGCACCAACACAAACUCAGUGUUCGAAGGUUUGACAGGAGACCAAGUGAUGAAGGCAAUGACCGUAGAUCCAUGUUAGUCAAGUUUACAACUCUGACCUCGAUCAUGCUCUUGAAAAAGUUGUCUGGAAUUGUUACUCGUGAAUAUUCCCAAGGAUCAUCACUUAUAAAAAGAAGUUCGAGCUGAGGACAUUCCAGUACUUUAGGAAGCAAAUUAGUGUUGAUAUCAUGUAAGACGAUUGAAGUGCAAUGCUUUAUUGCACUUCCGUCCGACCAUUCCCUGCAACCAUCAACCUGCUCAUUUGUAGCAGUAAACACAUUUCGUUCAGUAGAUGCAAUUGAUCUGGCGACAUCGCGAACUACAUCAUGCAUAGAAAACAACUCUUUCUUCUGGCUUAUAUGGUCAAGCAACAUACAAGAAGCUUUGAGUGUGCGCACCAAUGUAUGUACUCGAUUUCGUGCUACUUCAAUCUUAUUCACACCUUGAAAUAAACCCAAUCCCAUACCACACAUUAACAAGUCUUCAAUAGAUGCUAUGGCUGUAUAUCCUAUUAGCAAAAAGAUGUUCUUGAGAUCAUCCCUUCCUAGUUUAUUGUAGCUCAACUCGAUAGCUUUAAAUGCGGCUGGCUGUACAUCCUUAAAAUUCGAUGAAGAAGGCCUUCUUAGCUGUUCCAAUGCAUCCUUCCAUUCACGUAUGCUCUUGUUCCUUAAUGCCCUUGCAACCGUCACAAUGGAAACUGGUAGACCUGCACAUUCCUUUGCCACAUCCCUUGCUACCUCUUUCAAUUCAUUACCUUCAACAUAAUCACCUGCCAUCUUCGUGAAUAGACUCCAAGCUUCAUCUUCUUUUAAAAAUCCAACUGGGAAAUUUUUUCGAGACUCCAUCUCUCCAGACAAUACUUCUUCACUCCUCGCCGUGAACAGCACUUUACAUCCCAUGUGAUCAUCUCCGUGAGGAAUUCCGACAUCCAACAAAUCAAGAUUUUCCCAAAUAUUAUCCAAGAUUACAAGGAUCCUCUUCUCUUUCUUCAGUCGAUCAUAGAGUCUUCUUGCCCUACCCGAUUCACUCUCCUCAUCAAAUUUUAGACCUAGUUUAUCCGCGAUUUCUCCUUGAAGCUUUCUUACGUCUCGACUCUCAGACACCUCAGAAAAAACCACCUGAUCGAAAAGCUUGUCACUCUCUGCUUUUCUAGCAACUUCUUUAGCUAGCGUCGUCUUUCCGAUUCCGCCCAUUCCAUAAAUCAAAAGCAUGUUGACAUUGGGAUUUUUUAAUGCAUCAAUUAUUUCAUUCAGAAUGGACGUUCUUGAUUCAAAGGCCUCGAAGUCUUUGUUAGGCAUAAGCAAGGUAUCCUCCGGAAUGAUGCUGUAGGAAAUACUAUUAACUGGUCUAGCGUCCCGGACUUUGACAACAGCCUCCUUC
rnacentral:lncRNA from 1 species